rnacentral:rRNA from 1 species
CCUGAACCGUACCCCAAACCGACACAGGUGGUUGGGUAGAGAAUACCAAGGCGCUUGAGAGAACUCGGGUGAAGGAACUAGGCAAAAUGGCACCGUAACUUCGGGAGAAGGUGCGCCGGUGAGGGUGAAGCAUUUACUGCGUAAGCCCACGCCGGUCGAAGAUACCAGGCCGCUGCGACUGUUUAUUAAAAACACAGCACUCUGCAAACACGAAAGUGGACGUAUAGGGUGUGACGCCUGCCCGGUGCCGGAAGGUUAAUUGAUGGGGUUAGCUAACGCGAAGCUCUUGAUCGAAGCCCCGGUAAACGGCGGCCGUAACUAUAACGGUCCUAAGGUAGCGAAAUUCCUUGUCGGGUAAGUUCCGACCUGCACGAAUGGCGUAACGAUGGCGGCGCUGUCUCCACCCGAGACUCAGUGAAAUUGAAAUCGCUGUGAAGAUGCAGUGUAUCCGCGGCUAGACGGAAAGACCCCGUGAACCUUUACUAUAGCUUUGCACUGGACUUUGAAUUUGCUUGUGUAGGAUAGGUGGGAGGCUUUGAAGCGUGGACGCCAGUCUGCGUGGAGCCAACCUUGAAAUACCACCCUGGCAACUUUGAGGUUCUAACUCAGGUCCGUUAUCCGGAUCGAGGACAGUGUAUGGUGGGUAGUUUGACUGGGGCGGUCUCCUCCUAAAGAGUAACGGAGGAGUACGAAGGUGCGCUCAGACCGGUCGGAAAUCGGUCGUAGAGUAUAAAGGCAAAAGCGCGCUUGACUGCGAGACAGACACGUCGAGCAGGUACGAAAGUAGGUCUUAGUGAUCCGGUGGUUCUGUAUGGAAGGGCCAUCGCUCAACGGAUAAAAGGUACUCCGGGGAUAACAGGCUGAUACCGCCCAAGAGUUCAUAUCGACGGCGGUGUUUGGCACCUCGAUGUCGGCUCAUCACAUCCUGGGGCUGAAGCCGGUCCCAAGGGUAUGGCUGUUCGCCAUUUAAAGUGGUACGCGAGCUGGGUUUAGAACGUCGUGAGACAGUUCGGUCCCUAUCUGCCGUGGACGUUUGAGAUUUGAGAGGGGCUGCUCCUAGUACGAGAGGACCGGAGUGGACGAACCUCUGGUGUUCCGGUUGUCACGCCAGUGGCAUUGCCGGGUAGCUAUGUUCGGAAUAGAUAACCGCUGAAAGCAUCUAAGCGGGAAACUAGCCUCAAGAUGAGAUCUCACUGGAACCUUGAGUUCCCUGAAGGGCCGUCGAAGACUACGACGUUGAUAGGUGGGGUGUGUAAGCGCUGUGAGGCGUUGAGCUAACCCAUACUAAUUGCCCGUGAGGCUUGACCGA